rnacentral:rRNA from 1 species
GACGAACGCUGGCGGCGUGCUUAACACAUGCAAGUCGAACGGUGAAGCGCCUUCCUUUUUGGUGGGUGUGGAUGAGUGGCGAACGGGUGAGUAACACGUGAGUAACCUGCCCCCUUCUUCUGGAUAACCGCAUGAAAGUGUGGCUAAUACGGGAUAUUCUGGGUCUGUCGCAUGAUGGGUCUGGGAAAGAUAUUGUUUCGGUGGGGGAUGGGCUCGCGGCCUAUCAGCUUGUUGGUGGGGUGAUGGCCUACCAAGGCGGUGACGGGUAGCCGGCCUGAGAGGGUGGACGGUCACACUGGGACUGAGGCACGGCCCAGACUCCUACGGGAGGCAGCAGUGGGGAAUAUUGCACAAUGGGCGCAAGCCUGAUGCAGCGACGCCGCGUGAGGGAUGGAGGCCUUCGGGUUGUGAACCUCUUUCGCCAGUGAAGCAGGCCUGCCUCGUUUGUGGGUGGGUUGACGGUAGUUGGAUAAGAAGCGCCGGCUAACUACGUG